rnacentral:misc_RNA from 1 species
AAAGUCGUAACAAGGUCUCCGUUGGUGAACCAGCGGAGGGAUCAUUAACGAGCGUAAAAACUCCAAACCUUUGUGAAUCUACCAUUCGUUGCUUCGGCGGGCGGCUCCCGGGGGAGCCUUUGAAGCCCUCGCGGUGCCCGCCGACAGCCCCAUACUCUUCUGUAUUUCAGGCUUUACCUUCUGAAUGCACAAACAAACAAGUAAAAACUUUCAACAACGGAUCUCUUGGUUCUG